CCUGUGGGGGAGGUCUCAGGCCUCCACAGCUCUGUGUCCAGAAGGAACGACCUACUGCGCGCACGGGGCUCUGCUGCAGCAGCCUAAAGCACUUGUUGUGAUGAUGCAUUUUGGUGAAACUGAAUUAAAUGUGGCAUGUUAAAAUCAUUUUACUUGUCUCUUUGUUUUCACUGAGGGUUUUUAUCUCCUCACGUGGUUCUCCUCCAGGCGUGUGGUCAGUGCUGUUCUAGAGGGGUCUCUACGGGGUGCAGGACUCUCAGGCCUGGGGCCGCCAUGAGCCUUCUAAAGGGAAGCGAGGAAAAGCAACAUCUGGCCAGGCAGUGGGCCCGGACUCCAGGGCCACUGUGAAGUAAGGCAGUCCUUCCUCCCUCCCGCUCCGUCCCCCUCCCCUCCCCCAGAUGUGGAAGAGGCACACUGUACGUGGGAAGGAAUGCUAUCUGCUCUGAACACGGAGAGAAAUCCUCCAUUUGCAACAGCAUAGGUGGCCCUGGAGGGCACCUGGAGUACACCGACCCACAGUCUCGUUGGCAGGCGCUGGGACCGCGUGGGCAGGGGAGUGCAAGGACCAACCACCUGGCCCAGGAGCCAGAGCUCGGCACACUGCCCUGACCCUCCUGGUGGAAGGCGGACGGGGCAGCACAUGCAGCUUGCAGAGCAGAGCCAGGCCAGAGCAGAGGUCAGCAGCAAAGCUCGAGGCCCAGAGCGCUACACAGAGCGCCAUUCAAAGUCCUCUCUCCUUCCCUCGGGAAGCCCCUCACU
rnacentral:lncRNA from 1 species